rnacentral:rRNA from 1 species
AGGAAGUAAAAGUCGUAACAAGGUUUCCGUAGGUGAACCUGCGGAAGGAUCAUUAUUGAAUAAACUUGGUGGGUUGUAGCUGGCUUCUCGAAGCAUGUGCACACCAACCAUCUUUAUCUAUCAUCCACCUGUGCACUUGUUGUAGUCUGAGAAAUGAGAACAACAUACUCUCAAUAAGGUGAACAACCUGUUGGAUGUGGGGAAUGCAGCAUAGCUCUCUCCAAAUUGCUUGUCAUCAGUUCUUGGACUAUGUCUUUAUCAUAUACAACUAGUAUGUUACAGAAUGUAUCAAUUGGGACUUUGUGCCUAUACAAUAUCAAAACAACUUUCAGCAACGGAUCUCUUGGCUCUCGCAUCGAUGAAGAACGCAGCGAAAUGCGAUAAGUAAUGUGAAUUGCAGAAUUCAGUGAAUCAUCGAAUCUUUGAACGCACCUUGCGCUCCUUGGUAUUCCGAGGAGCAUGCCUGUUUGAGUGUCAUUAAAUUCUCAACCACACCAUGUUUCUCAAACUUGGUUGUGGCUUGGAUAAUGGGGGUAUUAUUGCGGGCUUCUGUUUGAGGUUGGCUCCCCUGAAAUGUAUUAGCAGAACUGUUUGCGGUCAGUCGCCGGUGUGAUAAUUAUCUACGCUGAAGACAAAGGCUGCUCUCUGUGUGUUCAGCUUCCAAUGGUCCAUUUGUGGACAACUUUUGAAUAUUUGACCUCAAAUCAGGUAGGACUACCCGCUGAACUUAAGCAUAUC